AUACGUAGGUCCCGAGCGUUGCGCGGAGUCACUGGGCGUAAAGCGUCCGCAGCCGGCUCCGUAAGCGGGAUGUCAAAGCCCACGGCUCAACCGUGGAACGGCAUCCUGAACUGCGGAGCUUGAGGCACGCUCAGGCAGGCGGAAUUCCCGGGGUAGCGGUGAAAUGCGUAGAUCUCGGGAGGAACACCGAAGGGGAAGCCAGCCUGCUGGAGCUGUACUGACGGUCAGGGACGAAAGCCAGGGGAGCGAACCGGAUUAGAUACCCUAGUAGUCC
rnacentral:rRNA from 1 species